GACGAACGCUGGCGGCGUGCCUAAUACAUGCAAGUAGAACGCUGAAGGAGGAGCUUGCUUCUCUGGAUGAGUUGCGAACGGGUGAGUAACGCGUAGGUAACCUGCCUGGUAGCGGGGGAUAACUAUUGGAAACGAUAGCUAAUACCGCAUAAGAGUAGAUGUUGCAUGACAUUUGCUUAAAAGGUGCAAUUGCAUCACUACCAGAUGAACCUGCGUUGUAUUAGCUAGUUGGUGGGGUAACGGCUCACCACGGCGACGAUACAUAGCCUACCGGAGAGGGGGAGCGGCCACACUGGGACGGAGACACGGCCCAGACUCCUACGGGAGGCAGCAGUAGUGAAUCUUCGGCAAUGGACGGAAGUCUGACCGAGCAACGCCGCGUGAGUGAAGAAGGUUGUCGGAUCGGAAAGCUCGGUUGUAAGAGAAGAACGAGUGUGAGAGUGGAAAGUUCACACUGUGACGGUAUCUUACCAGAAAGGGACGGCUAACUACGUG
rnacentral:rRNA from 1 species